CGUAGGGACCAAGCGUUGUUCGGAUUUACUGGGCGUAAAGGGCGCGUAGGCGGCGUGUUAAGUCAGCUGUGAAAUCUCCGAGCUUAACUCGGAACGGUCAGCUGAUACUGAUGUGCUAGAGUGCAGAAGGGGCAAUCGGAAUUCUUGGUGUAGCGGUGAAAUGCGUAGAUAUCAAGAGGAACACCUGAGGUGAAGACGGGUUGCUGGGCUGACACUGACGCUGAGGCGCGAAAGCUAGGUAGCAAACGGGAUU
rnacentral:rRNA from 1 species